UAAAGACACCUUACACAGAGUGCCUA
rnacentral:piRNA from 1 species